rnacentral:lncRNA from 10 species
UUCCAUCUUUAUUUUGCAUUUAGUGACCACCUCUUCCACUUUGAGAUAGUCAGCAGCCUGAUGAAUUUCUUUAACAUUCCAACUGCAAGGAAACAAGGCUACAUGACAAUAUUCUGAUCAAAGAAAAACUUUCGAAACAGAGCUGCAUAUAUACUUCAAUGUAUUUUAAAGACCUAAUGAAGCAGAAUGCUGAAAAAGACAUAACUAAGAGAAAAAUAGAUUUAUAAAUUCAUUCAGAAUAAUGUUUAGGUAAAAAAUCUCCAAUUUUACAGAACUUCAAGAGAUGAAAGAUAAUGGCUAUUCACAGCUGACAGUGAACCACUGCAGAAAAAUUAAAUGUUAAAUUUUCUGGCUUUUUUUUUAAAACCCUAGAACACAAAAAUAGCUGAUGGUAACUCACUACCUCCUCCAUUCAUCCUGAGGCUUCUUCAGAUAGCAACCAACUUUUCUGGAUUGGCAAGAGGGAAAGUCUAAUGACACUUGUUUCCUACUAUUUUCUCCUGCUCCCCUGUGAGGGACUUUAAUUAUGUUUCCCAAACUUUGCUGUGCAUGUGAAUCACCCGGGAAUCUUGUUAAAUGUAGAUUCAAAUUCAGUAGGUCUGUGAUGGGGCCUGAGAUUCUGCAUUUUUUUUCUGUUUUGAGAUGGGGUAUUCUUCUGUUGCCCAAGCAGGAGUGCACUGGUAUAAUGAUAACUCACCGCAGCCUUCAACUCCUGGGCUCCUGCGUCAGCUUCCCAAGUAAGUGGGACUACAAGCAUGUGCUACCAUGCCUGGCUAUUUUUUUUGUAGAGGCAGGGUCUUGCUAUGCUGCCCAGGCUGGUCUCGAACUCCUGGCCUCAAGUGAUCCUCCCACCUUGGGCUCCCAAAGUGCUAGGAUUACAAGCGUGAGCCACCAGCACAGCCUGCAUUUCUUAAUACACUUCCUGGUGAUGCCAAUGUUGCUUAGAGGAAUCCACUUAGAGGAACAAGGUUUUAGAAUGUUAAACUCUCUCUAGCAACCCUCCCACCUUUUUUGGUGAUACUCAACCCAAAUUAGCUGGAGUGUUCGUGAUGUGAGAGUUACAAAGAAAGACUUAAGCCACCUUGUUCAAUAUUCUAGUCAAAUGUUUACUAAGCAUCUACCAUGUGUGGUACUAAGAUAUUAAUAAGUAAAUAGUCUCUGCCCUUCAGAAGUUCACAAUGUGGUGAAAGGUUGUUUGAUUAAUCUAGCACUGGCUCUGGCAUUACUGGCUGACUUAAUUAGGGUAAGUCAGCAUCUUUGGGGGGUUCAACUUUCUUAGCUGUAAAAUUAGAGUUGAGUUGGUGUUAACACUAAAAACAUGACUGUUAUAAGUAUUUGAGGAUGGAAACACACACACACACACACACACCCCUUACCCUCAAAUAAUCUUCCUACUUGAUUUUUUUCCCUAAAUAUGGUUUAUCUUUGGGAAGAUGAUCUCUUUCCCUCUCUGUUGUAAGUAUAAGCCAGAAAAGGGUUUUAAUCAUAGCUGACAAUGUAAAUAUAGUGCUGGUGAUACUAUUUUAAAGGACUAAAAUUUGAAAUAAAAUAAAAAAUAACUAGUGUCAUGAACCUCUAAGAUCUCUAAAAGUAUGCUACAGUAUCUACAAAUCUCUACCCAUGUUCUCAUCAUCUUCUAAUUAAACUUGCUUUGCCUCAAGUGCCACCUGUAUGUUUCCCCUUAUUUAAUUUAGCAUCACAACAGCUUUCUAAAAAUUGUCUUUUGGGCUGGGCCACUAAAAAAGAUCUUUUGGUCUCUAAUUGUGUUUAGUGCUCCAUAAAAUAAACCGCCAAACAGAUAACAAGGUCAGGUAGCCUUUAAGACCAAUAUAAGUUAGCAGGAAGUCAUACAUUAAUUGUUCAAGGCCGGGUGCAGUUGCUUAUGCCUGUAAGGCCAAGGUGGGCGCAUCACCUGAGGUCAGGAGUUCAAGACCAGCCUGGCCAACAUGGUAAAACCCCGUAUCUACAAAAUACAAAAAUUAGCUGGGCAUGAUGGCGGGUGCCUGUAAUUCCAGCUACUCGGGAGGCUGAGGCAGGAGAAUCCCUUGAACCUGGGAGGUGGAGGUUGCAGUGAGCCGAGAUCACGCCAUUGCACUCCAGCCUGGGUGACAGAGUGAGACUCCAUCUCAAAAAAAAAAAAAAAAAAAAAAAAAAAUUUGUUCAACAUUGAAAUGGUAAUUCAUACAAACUAUUUCAUAGAUGGCUAUAAUCUCAGUCACAGUUAAGAGCACCAAUCAAUACUUCAAUAACAGAUUUGCUUUUGUUUACAAGUAUUAGAUAACAUCCUCUGAACAGUCACUGAAGGUCAUUUAAUUACAUAUUGCCAGGUACAUGCCUAAAUGCUUUAUAAGAUUAUCCUCAGGACAUGCCUAUGAAAUCUAUUAUAAUCCUCAUUUUACACACAAGUGAAAAAUCAGAAGUCCAAAGAAAUAAAGUAACCUGUCCAAGAGCACAGAAUGUUAGAACCAAGAUUUGACCAAGGUAAUCUGGCCCCUGAGCCAACUUAAUAUAUUCUACCUGUUUUCUUAAUCACUAAGUUGUAAGCCUUUCUAUUUUGGUAUAAAUCCUCUCUUACAUUUCUAGCUGAACUCGAGGAAUUAGCUCCCCAGUCUCCAGGAAAGAUAUGUACCAAAAGAGACUGAACAAAACACCUGGCUGUUCUUCACAUUGGUUCUUUGCAUGAAGUCUCAAAGAAAAGUGCUCUACCGUGUAUUCAAAUGAAGAUUUUUUUGUUUUGCAUAGUUAAUUGAGAGAAAGGGAAACCAUUAAAUUGCAGGCCAGCCAAAAUUCACACUGCUCUUUUCCUUUAAUCAACUUAUAAAGAACUCACUUGAAGAUUUCAUUAUACCAAAAUUUAAAAAUAAUUCCAAAAUAGCAUGAAAGUUUACUUUUCUCUCCCUCCCCUCCCCCCACUGGAUACUUCUUACACAAGAAUGUUUCCUCGUCAAAAGGAUUAAUGAGCACCCUGAUUCUAGAUUUUUAAAUAAGUAUAUUUCCAUGAUAAGUUACAAUAUAAAAGGGAGGGAAAGAUUUUGCUUAAUGUAUACAUGCACAUCUCUACAGAGAUCUGGAAAAGAAUUAAUUAAUAUAUAUCAAAAGGUUAACAGGGGUUAUCAGUGGGCAGCAGUAUUUCAGGUGUUUCUUUUUUGUUUUUUCUAUUUUUUCUCCGAGAAAUGUGGAAUUAAAGGGGGAGGAGAGGGUAAAGAAGAAAAAUAAAGAAAUUAACGUUCAGUGGGAAGUGAAUAAGGAUCAAGUAAAACCUUAUUUAGCCUCAAGGUAGUUAUUACCAUCUCAUUUUGACAGAUGGGGAAACUGAGGCCCAGAGAGAUUGCAUCAUGCUCAAGGAGACAUAGCGACUGACAGGAAAGAUCUAAUUCCAAAGCCUAUAAUCUUCCUGUGUCAGAAGAUUAUGAACAGUCUAUUCAUGUUCACUUUCAUAAGAGAGACAGAAAUAAGACAGGGGUAAUUUAAUCAGUUUCUCUUUGCUUUUAUUCCCUCCACCUUUUCCCCUACAAUCUGUAAAUGUAUUGAUAUUAAUCUAAUUAUAUGGUUCGUUAUACAGGGGAGACACACAGUGCCUACAUUAUCAGAUUCCUCAGAACCCACUUCUUGUUAAUGCAGUGACAUCAGUAAGCAUCUUAGAGAAUCAUUCUAGCAUCUCUGACCUUACUUCAGUAUUAGUACUGGUAGGUUAAUAGAGAUAACAGGAGUCAGAAUGAGGGAGACAGAAGACCAGAGGAAUUCAAGGACCAAAAAGCAAUGGGAAACUGGAAGUAACUUAGAAUUUUUUGUUUGCAGCCUGGCCAGCAUGGUGAAACCCUGUCUCUACCAAAAAAUACAAAAAUUAGCCAGGUGUGGUAGUGCACACCUGUAGUCCCAGUUACUAGGGAGGCUGAGGUGGGAGAAUCGCUUGAACCCGGGAGGCAGAGGUUGCAGUGAGCCGAGAUUGCCCCACUGCACUCCAGCCUGGGUGACGGUGAGCCCGUCUCAAAAAUAAAAUAAAAUAAAUUCAUUGUGUUUAAUGUUCAAGUUUACAUAAGUGAAAUCACAGGCUUUGUUUCAGUAAAUAAACGUGUCAGAAAUCUUACUGUUUAUUAUCUGUGCUUAUGAAAAAUAUUGCCUGCUCAUCCUAAAUCAGUGAUACUGAUUUCUUUAUAAAAACAAACAUUGUGUGCAUAAAUAGGUGAAGAAUUUGAGUUCAGAGAAUGAAUGGAAAAAAUACAAAUCUACUUUUGCUGUGAAGACUACUGACUAGCUUUUAUAACUGAAAAUAAAAUGUGUACUUUACCUGUCAAGAUUUAAAGUUCCUGUGUAUAUAAACUCCAACAGUUUCUGAAAUCCAUCAGCCUUCACCUGACUCUGAUCAA